rnacentral:rRNA from 1 species
CCUACGGGAGGCAGCAGUGAGGAAUAUUGGACAAUGGGCGCAAGCCUGAUCCAGCCAUGCCGCGUGCAGGAUGACGGUCCUAUGGAUUGUAAACUGCUUUUAUACAGGAAGAAACACCUCUACGUGUAGAGACUUGACGGUACUGUAAGAAUAAGGAUCGGCUAACUCCGUGCCAGCAGCCGCGGUAAUACGGAGGAUCCAAGCGUUAUCCGGAAUCAUUGGGUUUAAAGGGUCCGUAGGCGGUUUAGUAAGUCAGCGGUGAAAGCCCAUCGCUCAACGGUGGAACGGCCAUUGAUACUGCUAGACUUGAAUUAUUAGGAAGUAACUAGAAUAUGUAGUGUAGCGGUGAAAUGCUUAGAGAUUACAUGGAAUACCAAUUGCGAAGGCAGGUUACUACUAAUUGAUUGACGCUGAUGGACGAAAGCGUGGGUAGCGAACAGGAUUAGAUACCCUGGUAGUCCACGCCGUAAACGAUGGAUACUAGCUGUUGGGCGCAAGUUCAGUGGNGUAGACGAGAGAGUAAGUAGUACCACCGUCGGGUAAGGUACGUAACGACGAAGUUAGUUAACGUUACGAAGGAAGUUAGACGGCGUUGAGACGNGCGACGGACGACGACGAGGGAGGAGG